UACGUAGGGACCAAGCGUUGUUCGGAUUUACUGGGCGUAAAGGGCGCGUAGGCGGCAAUUCGAGUCAGCUGUGAAAUCUCCGGGCUUAACUCGGAACGGUCAGCUGAUACUGCUUUGCUAGAGUGCGGAAGGGGCAACUGGAAUUCUCGGUGUAGCGGUGAAAUGCGUAGAUAUCGAGAGGAACACCUGCGGCGAAGGCGGGUUGCUGGGCCGACACUGACGCUGAAGUGCGAAAGCUAGGGGAGCGAACGGG
rnacentral:rRNA from 1 species